GAAAAAACUGAGUCAGAAAGGUAAAUGGUAGAGGAAGGCAUUAAAUGUCUGAUUCCAGUCUGGCCUUGACUUCCAUGUGCCUCUAGAGUACUUCCUGAUGUGAACAUUAACAGCCUAGAAGCCAUACUAAUGGAAACAUUGAGAUCACUGCCUAUUUUAGCUUUCUGCCUUUAGUUUAUUUCUUUAAUCCACAAAGUUAAAUACAAUUUUAUAACAAGGUUAAACAGGAAUGAAAACAUUGUUUUUGUAUCACUUCUAAUAACAUAUCAAAAUUAUUAGAAAAUAGAAAUAUAUUUUUUAAAUAUUUUGGAACAACUGACCUGUACCAUUUUAAGAGCAAAGGAGAAAAUUCAAGAAAGUAAACUAUGGUAUUUUUAAAAGAGUUCCUAAAAUGAAAUACUCAUAUACUCUUACACUUGUAAGGGAUUAGAUAGAACAUGUGGACUUUGUGAAACUAAAAUCUCAUGCCUAGUAAUCACUGCACUACAAGAGAGUAACUCAUUCAAGCAACACAUAUUAAAAACUCACUGUGGGCUUAUUACAUGUAGUGCACUAUGAGAGAUGCAGAAUAAGCUAUGAAAAUCUCUUUUGGUUGGACCUAGAGAUUAUCAUGCAGGUGAAGUAACCCAGACAGAGAAAGACAAAUGUCAGAUGAUCAUGUUUAUAAACAUUAUGAAAAUGUGAAAUCUAAAAAAAUGAUAUAAAUGAACUUAUAUACAAAACAGAAAUAAAACCACAGAUAUAGAAAAUUUAUGGUUACCAAAAGGGAAAGGGGGAAGGAGGGAUAAAUUAGUAGUUUGGGAUUAGUUUAUACACACUACUGUAUAUAAAAGAGAUAAGCAAUAAGGACCUACUGCACAGCACAACAAACUAUAGUCAAUAUUUUUAAUAACCUAUAAGAGAAAAUAAUCUGAAAAGAAUAGAUAGAAACACUUUACUGAAACUAAUACAACACUGAAAAUGAUCUAUACUUCAAUUAAAAAAUGGCAAAAAAUAACAAUAAUACACCUAGGAUAUGUUAAAUACCAUAAAAAGUUUCAAGAGAGGAGAUUAUUUCUGGCUGGAAAAUUACUAAUUUAACACACAUUUUCUGUGCCACUCUAUGACAGAUAUAGUAUGGGAAGAUUGGGAAUUCAGCCAUGAACAGAAAAAAACUUAUUGUUGGGAUUUUUAAUGUGGAUUCUAGCAACAGGAGAAAGGCAAUAAAAUUAUCAAAUAUAUAACAUGUAAAGAACUGAUGUGUUUACCCAUAAGGUAGGAUAGUCAGGAAAGAGAAGAGAAUUCAGCAAAAUGAGGAAAAGAUCCCCACAAGCAUUAUUUAGAGGAAAGAUCAUCUAGCUGAAGGGUUAACAGCAGAAUGAGAAUGGUUAAUUAUAGUUCUUAUAAAACUAAGUCCUUUUUUUGAAAAUGUAAUUUAAGCAAAGCUUUGAAGGAUAAGUAGGAUUUUAGAAUUGGUAAGAAAAAUAAAUGAAAAGGAGAUGGUUUAGCAUGAACAAAGGGAGGAUGCUGAGAAACGAGGACAUUUGGGGAGGGGUAUAUUUGGCUGAAGUGUAAGGGAUACAGAGAAGGAAAGAGAAGGGAGGCUGAAAAGGAAAACUGAAAUGGGUUGUGUGUAUAAGGACCUGAAGUUUAGGCAUGGCAGGAGGAAAGGGAAUAUGUAUAUAAAAUUCAGAAGAUAGAAUUGCUAAGAUUCUAUGACUGGCUUGAUUUGAUGGCAAAGAAAAGACAAGAUCAAAGAUAAUUUUGAAGUUUGGAUCUUACUGAUUUGAAAAAUUAUGUUGUUAUUAGUAGAAAAAUAAUUCAGAAGAAAGGCUUAAAUUGAUAGCAAAUGCUCAGGGACAACACCCAUUAUAUUAAAAUAUCUCAUAAAUUACAGUUGAAAUUAUGAUCAUAAUGUUUGAAUACUAUAUUGCAUAUGUGACCAUAUUAUAGGUAUAAUAUUCCAGUAUUUUACUUAAAUGCACAUGAGAAAUGUUUGCUUACAAAUUAAAUAAUUGAACUUAACCUACAAUUUGAAAUCUUACUAAACAUUUAUGUGAGAACCCAUAAAUGUAUAGGCACAGGACACUCUGAGUAGAUUGCUUAAGUAAUGAUAUACCAAACAAUUGGCCAUAGUUACCAAAAUUACACAAUACUUAAUGGGAUUAUUUUUAUCCCUUGAAAAAAUUUAGUAUGGUGUUCAUGACAAUGGGCCCUGGGGCAGAUGUCCUGGGUUGAAUUUUGCUUUAUAAUUUUAGUUGUGUGACUUUUGACAAGUCCUCUUUGCUUCAGUGCUUUGGUGUUCUCUCUCCUAUGAGGAUAAUGGGUUUGCUGACUUUAUAGGUCAGCAGCAAAAUACAAGGAGCAAAUCUACCUAAAGUGCUGAGCAUUAUGCUCAGAACACAUGUCCUUUAUACAUGUCACCACGGCUGUUAUUGCUAAGGAGAUAUUACAUAUUAUAUUUGGAUUUUCCCUAAUUAUAAAUGCACUUU
rnacentral:lncRNA from 1 species